rnacentral:rRNA from 1 species
UACGUAGGGUGCAAGCGUUGUCCGGAAUCAUUGGGCGUAAAGAGCUCGUAGGCGGUUUGUUGCGUCGGCUGUGAAAUCCCGAGGCUCAACCUCGGGUCUGCAGUCGAUACGAGCAAACUAGAGUGUUGCAGGGGAGACUGGAAUUCCUGGUGUAGCGGUGAAAUGCGCAGAUAUCAGGAGGAACACCGGUGGCGAAGGCGGGUCUCUGGGCAACAACUGACGCUGAGGAGCGAAAGCGUGGGGAGCGAACAGG